UACGGAGGGUGCAAGCGUUAACCGGAAUUACUGGGCGUAAAGCGCACGCAGGCGGUCUGUGAAGUCUGAUGUGAAAUCCCCGGGCUCAACCGGGGAGCGGCAUCGGAAACUGGCAGGCUAGAGUCUUGUAGAGGGGGGUAGAAUUCCAGGUGUAGCGGUGAAAUGCGUAGAGAUCUGGAGGAAUACCGGUGGCGAAGGCGGCCCCCUGGACAAAGACUGACGCUGAGGUGCGAAAGCGUGGGGAGCAAACAGG
rnacentral:misc_RNA from 1 species